rnacentral:rRNA from 1 species
GAUGAACGCUGGCGGCGUGCCUAAUACAUGCAAGUCGAGCGAACAGACGAGGAGCUUGCUCCUCUGACGUUAGCGGCGGACGGGUGAGUAACACGUGGAUAACCUACCUAUAAGACUGGGAUAACUUCGGGAAACCGGAGCUAAUACCGGAUAAUAUAUUGAACCGCAUGGUUCAAUAGUGAAAGACGGUUUUGCUGUCACUUAUAGAUGGAUCCGCGCCGCAUUAGCUAGUGGGUAAGGUAACGGCUUACCAAGGCGACGAUGCGUAGCCGACCUGAGAGGGUGAUCGGCCACACUGGAACGGAGACCCGGUCCAGAUUCCUACGGGAGGCAGCAGUAGGGAAUCUUCCGCAAUGGGCGAAAGCCUGACGGAGCAACGCCGCGUGAGUGAUGAAGGUCUUCGGAUCGUAAAACUCUUUUAUUAGGGAAGAACAAAUGUGUAAGUAACUAUGCACGUCUUGACGGUACCUAAUCAGAAAGCCACGGCUAACUACGUG